AAUCAACGCUGUCGGCGCGCUUAACACAUGCAAGUCGCACGAGAAAGGGAGCAAUCCUGAGUAAAGUGGCGUACGGGUGAGUAACACGUGGGAAUCUACCUCUUGGCGGGGAAUAACCCUGGGAAACCGGGGCUAAUACCGCAUAAGCUCGUGAGAGGAAAGCAGCAAUGCACCGAGAGAGGAGCCCGCGGCCGAUUAGCUAGUUGGUGGGGUAAUGGCUCACCAAGGCGAAGAUCGGUAGCCGGCCUGAGAGGGCACACGGCCACACUGGCACUGAAACACGGGCCAGACUCCUACGGGAGGCAGCAGUGGGGAAUCUUGCACAAUGGGGGAAACCCUGAUGCAGCGACGCCGCGGGAGCGAUGAAGCCCUUCGGGGUGUAAAGCUCUUUCGACAGGAACGAUAAUGACGGUACCUGGAGAAGAAGCUGCGGCUAACUACGU
rnacentral:rRNA from 1 species